ensembl:lncRNA novel transcript
GGGAAGGGAAGUGACUUUACCAAGAACCUGGCCUGUGAAGAGUGGGAGGACGAAGGGGAAAGUGGCUGAGGGGCUUCUCACUAUUUUUAAGACGGACAAGACUUGAGUCCAGCUGAAGUCUGAGAGGAAGACGUAAACAGGGAGAGGCUGGAGGCAGAAGAGAGCAUGACGGGGCUUUAUACUGUUGGUUAAACUUCUGCCGGCGGACGCAGCAGCAGGCGGCCAGCGUGGUGAGGAGGAUGGCAGAGACCAGUAUGAAGGCCUCCAGGAACCCCAGCCUUUCCCAGAAAAAGGUCUGACUUCCACAAUCACCGGGCUCAGGCUCACCGCCCCCAGCUUCUGUCUCCGCCAACCCGUUCUGACCCACUCACUGCUAAAUGCCUGACAACUGCUCAAAAGCUCUACUCUGACAAUGAGGCAGCUUGGCUUAAACUUCUCCACGGUGAAGUCCAGGAUCCCCAGCAGGGCCUUCGAGGCUGUUUGUAGCCCCUGCCAACCUGUCCCCCACCUCCCACCCCAGCCCACAUGCAGUGACCACAGCUGACCACUGCCCAUCAUGCGCUCCCACACCCACUGCUGGGGCCUGCUCCCUGAGCUGGUUAUGCCAUCCCCAACCAGAUCCACACAUGAACUCUUCACACUGAGCUUCAGGGCCUCCUCCACCAGGGAGCCCUCCCUGACUGUGCUUCCUCUCAGAGCUUUGCCCCGCUGAAUUGUGGCUGUGUGUGUGAGGACCUGCUAGACAGCGAGCUCAGAGCAAACAGGGACUGGUUUGGUGGAUGUGCAUGCCUUGGACCUGACUAGCAAGUCAAUUUUUCCUAAUGAAUGAGUCCCAGACAUCAUCAGUUUAGUAAAGGUCUGAGGCACUGAAUCAAUCACUUCUCUAGGAGGAAAGAAAAUGCAUAAUUGAUAUUUUCAAAAUAUAGUCAAAGACGGGUAGAGCAAGAAGAGUUCAGCUGACCCACUUCCCAGAUGUGAACACUGAGGCCUGAAGAUGGCAGUGACUUGCGUGAAUUCACAGUGAGCCAGUGGCUGAGCUGGUAGGGAGGGAACACAAGCCGGUGUGUUCCUCCCCUGGUCCAGCUCUGCGCUUCCUCCUGAGAGCCCCAAGGUGAGUAGGGGGAGGAAGAGACCUGCCCAGCCUCAGGCCUCCGUGUGGCUCUUCUUACUCCAUGCAGCACAGUGACUCCAUGUAGCCUCCAAGGGAGGCAGCUUCACAGGGGCCUCAGGAGGCCCAGGGAUGCCCCGUCAGUUGGGCACCUGUGUGAACCUGAAACCUGCCCAGCUGCCUUGCCCAUCCUUGCCCUUCCUCCCUCACAACCUCUCUGUCUGCAGGGGCCACUAAACAUAGCCUCCUCCUCACAGCCCUUACCCCCUGGGGCAUUCCUUACUUAAAGCAGAAACAACAAAAUGACCUGUGAUGGAGCCCCAGCUGUGUCAGGCUGCGUGCUGAGUGCAGAGACCCCCUACCCCAUUAAAUCUUCCCAGGCAUUGUUCA